rnacentral:tRNA from 1 species
GCUUUAAUAGUUUAAAUAAAACAAUGAUUUUGUAAAUCAUAAAUGAGAUACUCUUAAAGUU